rnacentral:rRNA from 1 species
AAUUCCUAGGGAGGCAGCAGUAGGGAAUCUUCCACAAUGGGCGAAAGCCUGAUGGAGCAACGCCGCGUGGGUGAAGAAGGUCUUCGGAUCGUAAAACCCUGUUGUUAGAGAAGAAAGUGCGUGAGAGUAACUGUUCACGUUUCGACGGUAUCUAACCAGAAAGCCACGGCUAACUACGUGCCAGCAGCCGCGGUAAUACGUAGGUGGCAAGCGUUAUCCGGAUUUAUUGGGCGUCAAGGGAACGCAGGCGGUCUUUUAAGUCUGUUGUGACAGCCUUCGGCUUAA